GAUGAACGCUGGCGGCGUGCCUAAUACAUGCAAGUCGAGCGAACGGACGAGAAGCUUGCUUCUCUGAUGUUAGCGGCGGACGGGUGAGUAACACGUGGAUAACCUACCUAUAAGACUGGGAUAACUUCGGGAAACCGGAGCUAAUACCGGAUAAUAUUUUGAACCGCAUGGUUCAAAAGUGAAAGACGGUCUUGCUGUCACUUAUAGAUGGAUCCGCGCUGCAUUAGCUAGUUGGUAAGGUAACGGCUUACCAAGGCAACGAUGCAUAGCCGACCUGAGAGGGUGAACCGACCCACUGGAACUGAGACAAGGUCCAGACUCCUAAGGGAGGCCGGAGGAGGGAAUCUUUCGGAAUGGGCGAAAGCCUGAAGGAGCAAAGGCGGGUGAGUGAAGAAGGUCUUCCGAUCGUAAAAAUCUGUUAUUAGGGAAGAACAUAUGUGUAAGUAACUGUGCACAUCUUGACGGUACCUAAUCAGAAAGCCACGGCUAACUACGUG
rnacentral:rRNA from 1 species